UAUUAACAAAUAAAAAAAAGAAAAGAAAAAGCUAUCAUUUUUCUCUUCCCCUUCACCGAAAUAUGCAGCAAAGAAAGGGUUUUGAAGCUGGAAAAUUUCAGCAACAUAUUUCCCUUGCUUAUGAUGAAAAUUGAGACUUGGACCUAGAACGGAAAGAAAUCGAUUUAUGGACGAGUACGUCCUUUUCACAUUUGUGGUAUCGAGAGUUUCCAGGUUAGCUCGGGUUGGAGGCCAUCAGAGAUAUCAUCACCCUAUCGAGUUAACGUUAUCGGAGUAAGUAAACUCAAGUGAUUCGAGUCUAUGGCAUGUAUAGGGUUUUAAUGUGAGUAUGUAAUAUUAUGAUUUAGCCAAAGGCAUUGGCUUGUUAUUAAGGUAGUAUUAGUCAUGUAAAUUGGCCUAUGUCGGCUAAUGACAUUAUGGGCCCAUAUGAUUAUUCUUAUGCAUGUAUGUUAUUAUCUCUUGUGAUGUGGCUUACAACAUGUAUGCCUAGAGAUUGAAUUGAGAUUCAUUGAUGAGCUAGUAACUAAUGCAGGAUUAAGUGAUUGGUAAAUAGUUAAUAAUGCUUCAUGAAUGGUUUGUGAUGUAAUGAUAGUUAUGUCUAGUAUGUGGUAAUGAUAUGGGCAAAUUCUAUAAUAUUUAUUGUAUAAGAAAAUAACUUGAGCAUAA